UACGAAGGGGGCUAGCGUUGUUCGGAAUUACUGGGCGUAAAGCGCACGUAGGCGGAUAUUUAAGUCAGGGGUGAAAUCCCAGAGCUCAACUCUGGAACUGCCUUUGAUACUGAGAGCCUUGAGUUCGGGAGAGGUGAGUGGAACUGCGAGUGUAGAGGUGAAAUUCGUAGAUAUUCGCAAGAACACCAGUGGCGAAAGGCGGCUCACUGGCCCGAUACUGACGCUGAGGUGACGAAAGCGUGGGGAGCAAACAGG
rnacentral:rRNA from 1 species